GGCUAUCGAUGUUAAGAACAUACUCUACAAAGUGGCACCAAAAUCAUGGCAAGCAGAAGAGAAAGAAGAUUUACCUCUGAAACAGAGGUUUUUUCCGGCGAAGGUUGAAUCGGAGAAGACGGAGGCGCAUCGGAAGAUCACUUGAAAAUAGGCAAUUCAUGAUUUUAGCUUCUUGUUCAUAUUCACUUCUUCAUUUAAACUUCUUAUGUGAACUGAGAGAUUGAAUCUGGGGCUUAUCUCAACCCUUACCGAAGCUUCUAGGUAGCUGCAAUGGAGUUUAUGAGAUAGAGCUUUGAGUGAGAGAGAGGAUUGAAAUCGAGAGAGUGAAGAGUGAAAAAAAUUUGGAAAUGGUGGAAAAUGAAUCGUGAGGCUUGAAUGAGUGAAGAGUGAACUGAUUUAUAGGAUUUGAAUUUCAGUUAUGAGAUACAACUCAAAUUUCAUCGAAUUUCACUUGAAAUUUAACUGUUAGUUGCAAAUGAAAUAAUUUUGUUAGCCUUUGACAGUUAGUUGCGAAAUUCAAUUUCAGUUGGUAGGCUAGGCUCCGUGUGUGUUGUAUCUGUGUUAUCUACAGUGGAAUUCAAAUUAAAUUCCUAUGAAAAUGCAGGGUUGUAUGGAAAUUGGCUUGUUAGUGAAAAAUGAAUGAAAUUAGUUUGUGAAUUGGCUUAUGAAUGUCAAAGUUAAAUGUUAGAACUUGCAGAGUAGGGCUAUGUUAAUUGGCGUUAAGUUGAUGAAAUAACUUGGAAUGUUAAUUGGAAUUUUAUUCUUUUGAAGGGCCAUGAUCAAUUGGAGUUUAGCUUGUGAACUUGUGAUGGAAUGGUUAUGGCUUGUUGGCUUGCGUUUGGCAAUUAUGAGACUUUGGAAGGCUAUGUUUGAAUCAAAAGAGGCUCAUGGAACAUUGUUGAUCAAGGAUUUUUACCUUGUGUUUGAUUGAAAUGUAACUUUUGUUGUUUUGGAUUUUAAUUUAUGAAUUGUAUUGAAAUGUAAAUGAUUGGUUUAAAAUUGUAAUGGAAUUUGGUUUAUGCUGAAACUUGAAUGUAUUUGAAAACGAAUGUUAUGAAUUAAUGGAAAUGUUUG
rnacentral:lncRNA from 1 species